CUCGUAGGGAGAACCAGAGACCCCGAACAGGAAGCCCCUUGCGUUGCGGCUGUACCACAGACCGCGAGACCGGAAUUAAAUUUCCUUUUCUUCUUUCAUCCGCGAAACGCGCGCGAGUUCGAGUUCAAUUUUGAAGAGAGAGAGAGAGAAAGGAGAAAAAAGACCCUACGCGGAGGUAUAACGUGUCAGACGUCAUAGUUGGUCGAGCUAUCGAUGGCUCGACCGAUUUCGCCGAUCGGAGAAGGGAACCGUCCCCGUGAGCGUGCUUUCCGCGAUCGGCGUUCUUCAGAGGAUGUAACGUGACUCGUUUCGACGUUCCGUGUAAUUCGCAACAAAUAUCAGCCGCGUCUUAAACGCUAGUUUACUCGCAUACCGCGGCAAUUACUAUAAUUGAGACAAUAAGCGUUUUUAAGUAACGUUCGUGCCGAGGCGACGGGCACGAACCUUCCUUCCUUCCUACCAUCGACGAUCCUCCAUAGCCCUGGCAAGGGUUUUCUAAUCUUCUGACGGCGUGCUUCGCGAAGCGUCGUCGAUCUGUUCGUAACAUGUUACAGAAUGUAUCCAAACGUGAUUGGCAACUCGAUCGCUCGGUGGAAGAUCUUUCUCGCUACCUUAAACUUAACCCAAAGGAUCAAGGAGUGGGAUACGAGGAAAAAUCCACGGAAAAAGUAGCAGCGAUGUCAUUUCCCUUUUUCCACACGCGAUACCAAGUUUAAUUAACCUCUCAACAACCUGGGACCAAAAUGCGAUGUUUACACUUGGCUAGAACAACACACCACUGGAGAAUUGAAGUAGCCAGGCUCGUGAUAAUCAGUUUUAGCCCGAACACGAGUCUCGCACGUGGUUGCAGCUUAAGGGGUCAAACCCUGAUCAAAACGAAGGUUGAAACCCAUAGUAGCUCGAUUAAUGGAACUGGACGGUGCAGAAAUUUCAUUUGCGCCGAGUCAAGUGAACCUGAACGACGAGGAUCGACCGAUCGCGGAAGAAAGAGCCGAAGGGGAGAGCGGUGAUCGCGAAGGUAGUCGAGGUCGAGCCGCGAACGACUAUUGCGCAAUAACCAAAGACGAAGAACCUUGUUCCAGACGCGGUACCGCGAAUGGGAGGUUCCCCAGCCGCUGUAAUCGGCAGAUUAAUGUUCGUUUCUCGAACUUAAUCCCGGCCUGGCCCGCUGGACGGAUUCGUCCGGGACAACGCCUCGUUCGAUGGUUAUUCGGGAUCGCCGUCGACUUCGUCGAUCGUCGAAGAACCGAUUUACGAGCCUAGAAACCGAGACGCCGUUGUCGCGGUUUGUCGAAUCAAGGGGUCGAUCGAAUUGGAACCACCGACACUUGCUUUUAUUGCUACUUUCUAAUCCACCAAUUGCGUACGAUCGCCAAAGCACUUCGAAAUCGAUCGCGAGUAAUCGAACGACAGGCCCACUAGGCAGCGCACGGUAUUCGUCAUCGGUUGGGUCUACCUCGACGGAAAGAUCAGAGUUCGUACCCAAACGAGUCUGUUUCCUCGUACAGUGACGCGGACUUCUCGUUUGACUCUUCCGAGAACUUAUUCCUGCGACGAAAUUUUUAUCACUCGCUGUUGCACUCGGUAUCGCUGUGCCGAUUCAUCGACGUCGCGCACGAGCUCGAGCUGGCGAUCAGCGUCGAAGCAACGCAUCGAAAGACAGUCCCGACAAAUUGAUGAUAAUUCGCGACCGUUUGACAUCGGUUGACAUCAAAAUCAAUUCGUCGUAAUAAAGCGAUCGCCGACAAUCACCGCGAUUACGCCAAUGAACGUCCAAUGUGGAAGGCGUAUGCGCCGCGGCGUAUCGGCGCAUCGAUGUUUCUAUGAUUCUCAAUAAAACGGCUCCGUCGAUCGUGCCAGCCGCCGACAUCGACGCUGUCGUCGCGAAUCGUCGCGAAUCGUCGCUUCUCGACAGCGUCACGCCGGUAAUUAAUUUAUUAUUUCGUUUGUCUUUAUUGGAUGCUUGAAAAAUACGAGUAGCACAGGAAUGAAACGGAGUCAUCGCGGAUUCUUCAUCGUUUUAAGGAACUCGGAGAUUCCAACGCUACGUCGAGUGCGUAAAAGAGUCCAGGUAUGAGAACGAAACGAGGUAUGCCGAGUUUACGAGCGACAGAACUCGCAGGCUGAAAAUAAAGCGAAGCCAAUGAGAGCGGGCCCGCGUACGCGCCUAGAUAAACAUCGUGCGCGGCAACCACGCGAGCCUGGAUGAAAAAGCAGUAAACAUUUUAUUUCUUCCGCGAUACUAUGGACAAUUCUUCGAAACUCAAAGGAGAAAGGAGACUCUGGAAAGGAGAACCUCGAUUGCUAUCUCGUUAGGUAUUUAUUUAUCUCUAAAUACUUAUUAGUAGACUGUGGAGUUUAUGCUGUUAUGGCGUAUACUAAUUGAAAGUACUUUACAAACUGAGAUAUUGCAAUGCUCUCAAGUCCAAGGGUUGAAACUACCUUCAAAACUGAAAUAUUCCAAUGCUAACUUAAAAACUAUUUAUUAUACAAGGAUAAAAGUUGUUAUACUCAAUGUAAUAAGAACUGGCACU